rnacentral:rRNA from 1 species
UACGUAGGGUCCGAGCGUUGUCCGGAAUUAUUGGGCGUAAAGGGCUCGUAGGCGGUUUGUUGCGUCGGGAGUGAAAACUUCGAGCUUAACUCGGAGCUUGCUUUCGAUACGGGCAGACUUGAGGCAUUCAGGGGAGAACGGAAUUUCUGGUGUAGAGGUGAAAUUCGUAGAUAUUCGCAAGAAACGACCAGUCGGCGGAAGGCGGAGCUCGAUCUGGCCCGGUACGUAGACU